UAGAAUAAGAGAGGGAGGGGCCGCAGGACUACCCAGACCUUCCUCACCCCCCAGAGCACCUUGGUCCCCUCCUGCCACACUCAACGCUGCAGAAGCCAGUGAGUUAAUUUCCUGUAGAUGCGGGCCACUGGUGGGAUUGUAGAGUUUGUCAUGGUGUCUUGGCCCACGCUCCUUGUUUUACCCCGUCAGAAACUUGGUUAAAGCUGUGAGGAGUUUUCAUACAGAGAGUAACGGGUCAGGGUCAAGGGGAUCAAGUGACCUUCCCCGUGUCUGCAUGGGACCUGCGAGACAGAGUGUGGACGGGAGCGGUGACUUGGAGUCGGAGUUCCUCUCAGUUUUUUCUUUCUGGUCUCCUGAUGGUGCCAUGUGACUCCUGUUCCAUGCAUGCUGCGGACCGUUUGCAGAAACUGAGCAUUGACAAGGUCAAGGGGAGGCAUAGCUUCAGGAGAAGAGAAAGUGGAGAAUUCAGAGGGUUGGAGACAAUCAAACAGCAGUCCAUGUUAGUAAAAUGAAUAAACAAAUGAAUAAAGACCUGCUCCUUUCAAUAGAAACCGAAUCCUCUCUCUGGACUCAGAAGCAGAGCAGAAACCCCUUGUCUCAGGCCUUGCCAGUCUUAAGUGUCCAGAGCCCCUAGUACAAACAGGACAUCAGAAGGAAAACACAGGAUUAAGCUUAGUGAUUCUUUUUUU